AUUGAACGCUGGCGGAAUGCUUUACACAUGCAAGUCGAACGGCAGCACGGACUUCGGUCUGGUGGCGAGUGGCGAACGGGUGAGUAACAUAUCGGAACGUAUCCAAUAAUGGGGGAUAACGAGUCGAAAGAUUCGCUAAUACCGCAUACGCCCUACGGGGGAAAGCUGGGGACCUUCGGGCCUGGCGUUAAUGGAGCGGCCGAUAUCUGAUUAGCUAGUUGGUGAGGUAAAGGCUCACCAAGGCGACGAUCAGUAGCUGGUCUGAGAGGACGAACAGCCACUCUGGAACUGAGACACGGUCCAGACUACUACGGGAGGCAGCAGUGGGGAGUUUUGGACAAUGGGCGCAAGCCUGAUCCAGCCAUUCCGCGUGAGUGAAGAAGGCCUUCGGGUUGUAAAGCUCUUUCGCAAGGGAAGAAGACUUAGCCACUAACAUUGGUUGAGGUUGACGGUACCUUGAUAAGAAGCACCGGCUAACUACGUGCCAGCCGCCGCAGUAA
rnacentral:rRNA from 1 species